UUUUGGCAAGCUAUGUUCCCUGGCUUGUGUCCAGUCUACAAAAGGUCUUAAAACCACGGAGCAGGGCUUUAAGCGUUUAGGAUCUCGCUUUUUGCAGGCUUUUGACAAGAAGGCUCAGAUCUCCACUAACCAGUGGCCACAUUUUACCAUCAUGAUCAUUGAGUAGCUCACAACCAAACCGUUUGCUUUAUCACAGCAAGAAGAGUGAGGAGAGCCAAAAAUGUCACAGAAGAAAGACAACUCAGAACAACCACCCUCAGCCUCCCAAGUCCAGGACACUGGGUCAACGACUCUUCACAACUUCUUCAGGCUGAAUAUGGAUGUUGAGAUAUCUUGAUGGGGGCUAGGGAAAAUGGCCUUAAGAAGGCCACCCAACAAUUGGUGCAGUCUCUGAUGUUUGUCCUGACUGGAUCUGGCCAAAAGUCCCUGAGAUCAGGAGUUCAAGCAGGGAUGAAAAACUGAAGGACAGUACCCAAAGUCACACAGCAAACAAAUGUCUCAACUAAUAUUCGAGUCCAGAUCGGACUCCUUACUUCGUCACUAAGGACGCGCCUGUGGAUAAUUGUGUCUGAGCUCCCGAAGAGCCGUAAACUAGAUUUUAAAGGUCAAAGAGAUAAGGCAAGUCUUGGAUUGUCUUCUUGCCACUUUUACUUCAUUUUCAUACUAUCUUUUCACUGGUGUAAGGAAUUUGCCGAAUGUCU
rnacentral:lncRNA from 1 species